rnacentral:rRNA from 1 species
UACGGAGGGUGCAAGCGUUGUUCGGAAUUAUUGGGCGUAAAGCGCGCGCAGGCGGCUGCGCAAGUCUGAUGUGAAAGCCCCGGGCUCAACCUGGGAAGUGCAUCGGAAACUGCGUAGCUUGAGUACGGGAGAGGGAAGCGGAAUUCCGAGUGUAGGGGUGAAAUCCGUAGAUAUUCGGAAGAACACCAGUGGCGAAGGCGGCUUCCUGGACCGAUACUGACGCUGAGGCGCGAAAGCGUGGGGAGCAAACAGGAUUAGAUACCCUGGUAGUCCACGCCGUAAACGAUGGGUACUAGGUGUCGCGGGUAUUGACCCCUGCGGUGCCGAAGCUAACGCAUUAAGUACCCCGCCUGGGGAGUACGGCCGCAAGGCUAAA